rnacentral:rRNA from 1 species
UGGGAAUUUUGGACAAUGGGCGCAAGCCUGAUCCAGCCAUGCCGCGUGCGGGAAGAAGGCCUUCGGGUUGUAAACCGCUUUUGUCAGGGAAGAAAUCUUCUGAGUUAAUACCUCGGGAGGAUGACGGUACCUGAAGAAUAAGCACCGGCUAACUACGUGCCAGCAGCCGCGGUAAUACGUAGGGUGCAAGCGUUAAUCGGAAUUACUGGGCGUAAAGCGUGCGCAGGCGGUUUUGUAAGACAGAGGUGAAAUCCCCGGGCUCAACCUGGGAACUGCCUUUGUGACUGCAAGGCUUGAGUGCGGCAGAGGGGGGAUGGAAUUCCGCGUGUAGCAGUGAAAUGCGUAGAUAUGCGGAGGAACGCCGAUGGCGAAGGCAAUCCCCUGGGCCUGCACUGACGCUCAUGCACGAAAGCGUGGGGAGCAAAACAGGAUUAGAUAGCCCUGGUAGUCCACGCCCUAAAACGAUGUCAACUGGUUGUUGGGAAGGUUCCUUCUCAGUAACGUAGCUAACGCGUGAAGUUGACCGCCUGGGGAGUACGGCCGC